UACAGAGGGUGCGAGCGUUGUUCGGAAUUACUGGGCGUAAAGCGCGCGCAGGCGGCCCUUUAAGUCUACCCGUGAAAUGCCGGAGCUCAACUCCGUGCACGCCGGGGGAUACUGGGGGGGCUGGAGACAGGUAGAGGCAAGCGGAAUUCCGGGUGUAGCGGUGGAAUGCGUAGAUAGUCCGGAAGAACACCUGCGGCGAAGGCGGGUUGCUGGGCCGACACUGACG
rnacentral:rRNA from 1 species